UUAUCAGACUUGUUACAAGGUUGUUCUAACAAGUCUGAUACAGUGAUGAUGCAAGGUUGACAACACAAGGUUGUAACAAUAUUGUUAUAUCAUGAUUGUAUUGGACUUGUUGGAACAACCUUGCAACAAGUCUGAUAA